rnacentral:rRNA from 1 species
AGCGAACGCUGGCGGCAGGCCUAACACAUGCAAGUCGAACGGAUCCUUCGUGAUUACUGGCGGACGGGUGAGGAACACGUGGGAACGUUCCCUUUGGCUCGGAACACUUCAUUUACACGUGAGCUAAUACCGGGUGAGUCACUCUAGGGAAAGAUUGAUCCCCAUUGUAGCGGCGCGCGUCUGUCUAGCUUGUUGGUGAUGUAACAGCCGACGAAGGCGACGAUCAUUAGCUGGUCUGAGAGGAUGAUCAGCGACACUGGGACUGAGACACGGCCGAGACUCCUACGGGAGGGAGCAGUGGGGAAUCUUGCGCAAUGGGCGAAAGCCUGACGCAGCCCUGCCGCGUGAAUGAUGAAGGUCUUAGGAUAGUAAAAUUCUUUCAGCGGGGACGAUAAUGACGGUACCCGAAGAAGAAGCACCGGCUAACUUCGUG